rnacentral:rRNA from 1 species
UGCUACAGCCAUGCCACCCUGAACAAGCCCGAUCUCGUCCGAUCUCAGAAGCUAAGCAGGGUCAGGCCUGGUUAGUACUUGGAUCGGGGACCACCUGUGAAGACCAGGUGCUGUAGGCA